ACAUUACUUUAGGGAAAGAGAGCUCGACCCGCGAGCUUACAAUCUAGAUAUCAUGAAUCUGUCGCUGUGAUGAUUGUAAACGAACGGCUUUUCUCGUUCCAGUAUCGGCACAAAGGCGACAAUCAGGUCAACAACAGAACGGUGCAGGUGCUCAGCAAAGGACAGUUCACCAAUGAGAAAUGGAUGAAUAUCCAAGUCGGCGAUAUUAUAAAACUGGAGAAUAAUAAUUUUGUAACGGCAGAUCUUCUGUUGCUGUCCAGCAGUGAACCCAACAGCUUGAUC